rnacentral:rRNA from 1 species
AUUGAACGCUGGCGGCAGGCCUAACACAUGCAAGUCGAGCGAGUGGCGGACGGGUGAGUAAUGUAUGGGAAACUGCCUGAUGGAGGGGGAUAACUACUGGAAACGGUGGCUAAUACCGCAUACCAUCCGAUGUACCCAGAUGGGAUUAGCUAGUUGGUGGGGUAACGGCUCACCAAGGCGACGAUCCCUAGCUGGUCUGAGAGGAUGACCAGCCAAACUGGGACUGAGACACGGCCCAGACUCCUACGGGAGGCAGCAGUGGGGAAUAUUGCACAAUGGGCGCAAGCCUGAUGCAGCCAUGCCGCGUGUAUGAAGAAGGCCUUAGGGUUGUAAAGUACUUUCAGCGGGGAGGCGUUACCCGCAGAAGAAGCACCGGCUAACUCCGUGCCAGCAGCCGCGGUAAUAC